GUAGUCCCAGGUACUCGGGAGGCUGAGACAGGAGAAUUGCUUGAACCCGGGAGGCAGAGGUUGCAGUGAGCCGAGAUCACGGCACUGCACUCCAACCUGGGUGUUAGGGCGAGACUCCGUCUCAAAAAAAAAAAAAAGAAAUAAAAAAAGUUACCAGGAAAACUGGUAAGAUCAGCUAUAAAACAUCUAUAAAAGGCAAUGGAGUAGUUCAUAUGCAAAAGUAUGAUAAAAUGGUGAGCAAUACUGUACAGUAUCUGCUUAUUAGUUGAUAUAAUGUAAAGUCUAUAACAAACCCAAACUUCUACUUUAGCUACAGUACUGUGGACUUUCAAUGCUCUUUAACUAGUCUGGUCAUCAUAAUUUUCUCCCCCUUCCCCCUUCUAAAGUCAUGAGGAAAAUAUAAAGGAUCUAUCAUAAAAUAUACAUCAACUGUAUUGUUACCAUAUAGAAUAACAACCAGACUUCUCAAUAAGCAACUUAUCUAUUGCAGUAAGACAAUAUGCUAUGCUUAUCUUUCUGGAUUCCCCAGGAAGAGAUACUUCCAAUCUAACAUCAGAUAUUUUUACUUUCUAAACAGAGCUAACUUGUACCAUUUUUAGAAACAGAUCACAAAUGCAAAUUUGCUUCUGGAACAAAACAUAACAUUGAUUUCUUGGAAAGACUUUUGGAAAUGUUGAGAAAAAGCUUUUAACAUUUCAGAUACAUCCAACAGUUCAUGUCUGAAUGUAAUUAAGCAUCCAAAUCAACACUGUCAUUUAUCUGCAGGGACUUAAUGUUUUUCUAAAAUACUCUUUGCCAUUUAGAUUCAAUCAUGUCAACAUUUACCAACAUUUGAGUAGGUAUACUCUUUAAGAAGGUAUAUUAUACUGCCUUCAAAAUACUUAUUACCUGAGUGUUAACUAUCAUCUUUCCUCCACCUGAACAAGCACCAAAAAUGUAGCAUCUCUUACCAGUCACAGAAUCACCGUUCAGCGUGGCGGGGGGUGGUCUCCAUUUUACAGAUAAAGAAACUGAAUGUGUGGCGGAUUUGAAUCCAGGGCUUCUGCCUUUUUUCUUUCUUUCUUUUUUCUUUUUUUUUUUUUGAGACAGAGGUUCGCUCUGUCACCCCGGCUGGAGUGCAGUGCAGUGAUGUGAUCUUGGCUCACUGCAACCUCUGCCUUCUGGGUUCAGGCGAUUUCUCCUGCCUCAGCCUCCCAAGUAGCUGGGAUUACAGGUGCCUGCCACCACGCCCGGCUAAUUUUUGUAUUUUUUUUUAGUAGAGAUGGGGUUUCACCGUGUUGGCCAGGCUGGUCUCGAGCUCCUGACCUCAAGUGAUCCGCCUGCCUCAGCCUCCCAAAGUGCUGGGAUUACAGGCAUGAGCCACCGUGCCUGACUGCUGCUUUCUAAAUACCAUUUCACUCCCACAUUUUUCUCCCAUCAUGAAAGUGUGUAUCAGGUUGGUUUCUCUAUAAAAGGAAUUAUAGCUGAACUAGAGCUGGAGGAGCAUAACCACCAGCCCAAGAGGGAGGGGAAAAGCCGGAAAGGCGUUGGGCAGGGAGGUGGCUUGGGUACCUGGUUUGACCACAGUUAGAAUAUCAUGAUUGUGUUUUGUUAGUCUUUAAAUGAUUUUGAGUCUGAUAGAUAACUAAAUUCUGAUUUUAAAAACUAUUUCAGCAAGAGAUUUACAUUAAGGCUCAUGAACUAAUUCAGAUUUUUGUUCGUGUCUCUUCAAAAAUUGCUAUCUUAGAAAAGUUAGAAUUCAAUGCCCAGUUGAAAAAUUGCUUGGGGCUUGAUAGCA
rnacentral:lncRNA from 1 species